GACGAACGCUGGCGGCGUGCUUAACACAUGCAAGUCGAGCGGAAAGGCCCUUUCGGGGGUACUCGAGCGGCGAACGGGUGAGUAACACGUGAGUAAUCUGCCUCUGGCUUCGGGAUAGCCACCGGAAACGGUGAUUAAUACCGGAUAUGACAUCUUCACGCAUGUGCUGGGUGUGGAAAGUUUUUUCGGCCAGGGAUGUGCUCGCGGCCUAUCAGCUUGUUGGUGGGGUAAUGGCCUACCAAGGCUUCGACGGGUAGCCGGCCUGAGAGGGUGACCGGCCACACUGGGACUGAGACACGGCCCAGACUCCUACGGGAGGCAGCAGUGGGGAAUAUUGGACAAUGGGCGGAAGCCUGAUCCAGCAACGCCGCGUGAGGGAUGACGGCCUUCGGGUUGUAAACCUCUUUCAGCACAGACGAAGCGCAAGUGACGGUAUGUGCAGAAGAAGGACCGGCCAACUACGUGCCAGCCGCCGCCGUAACAC
rnacentral:rRNA from 1 species